GCUCGGUGUUGGCAGUAAAAAGGACGAAGGGCAGGGAGGCAAAAGAAAACCCAAACCUCAGAAGAUUAAAACAAGGAAAGUAAUGGAAUUAAAAAACUGAGCUGAGAGGAGGAGAAUUCAUUAUAAAAACACCAAAUGUAGUGAAAAGAAGAAAGAUCAUGCAGAGGGCUCAAACGUGGAGUCCCAAAGUGGAGUUCAAUUGGGGAAAAUCAGCAACAGCAUGAUGGAGGACCCUGAAGACUUACCUGUUUCCCAGGCUUUCAACUGAAAUUUUAAUGUCUUUUUAUUUAUUGCAAAUAAACAAACAAAUAAAUAAAUAAAAGAUGUCAAAGCAUAGAUUAGGUUAAAUUUCCAAACAGAAGUAUUCUUGCUCAGAGCUGUAAAGACACCAGGUCAGGAUCUUUAUCGUGUCUUGCCCUUAUGUGCACCCAUAAGAUCUAUCCAAAUAUCCUAUGAAAUUGAUUUUUCUCUUCCCACAAAUACUUAUUGGGCACAACCAUUCCACCACUCAGUUGUCAUUGCCAUCUUCUUUACCUGACACCUCCUUAUAAUUAUGGCUAUAGGCUAAGCAAGAUUGAAAUCAAAGAUUUAAUUUGCACCAAUGAUGG